rnacentral:rRNA from 1 species
AACGAACGCUUGCGGCAUGCUUAAAACAUGCAAGUCGAACGAGAAAGUGGCUUCGGCCAUGAGUACAGUGGCGCACGGGUGAGUAACACGUAAUUAACGUCCCUCCUCGCUGGGGAUAACUUCGGGAACCGAAGCUAAUACCGAAUGAUCUGAAGUGGUCCUUGGACUGUUUUGGUAAAGCCUUCGGGCGCGAGGAGAUCGGGUUGCGGCCUAUUAGCUUGUUGGUGGGGUAAUGGCCUACCAAGGCUACGAUAGGUAGCUGGUCUGAGAGGAUGAUCAGCCACACUGGAACUGAAACACGGUCCAGACUCCCACGGGAGGCAGCAGUUGGGAACAUUGGACAAUGGGGGAAACCCUGAUCCAGCAAUGCCGCGUGAACGAUGAAGGCCCUCGGGUCGUAAAGUUCUUUUAGCAGGGAAGAAGGGAAACUUGACUGUACCUGCAGAAAAAGCACCGGCUAACUCCGUGCCAGCAGCCGCGGUAAUACGGAGGGUGCAAGCGUUGUUCGGAAUUAUUGGGCGUAAAGCGCGUGUAGGCGGCCAUAAAAGUCUGGUGUGAAAGCCCGGGGCUUAACCCCGGAAGUGCACUGGAUACUAUAUGGCUAGAGGGUAAGAGAGGAAAGCGGAAUUCCUGGUGUAGGGGUGAAAUCCGUAGAUAUCAGGAGGAACACCGAUGGCGAAGGCAGCUUUCUGGCUUACAUCUGACGCUGAGACGCGAAAGCGUGGGUAGCAAACAGGAUUAGAUACCCUGGUAGUCCACGCCCUAAACGAUGGAUACUAGAUGUUGGAGCACCUAAUAGCUUCAGUAUCGUAGCUAACGCGUUAAGUAUCCCGCCUGGGAAGUACGGUCGCAAGAUUAAAACUCAAAGGAAUUGACGGGGGCCCGCACAAGCGGUGGAGCAUGUGGUUUAAUUCGAUGCUACGCGAAAAACCUUACCUAGACUUGACAUCCUGUGCUACCCUGUGAAAGCAGGGGUUCCCGCAAGGGACGCAGAGACAGGUGCUGCAUGGCUGUCGUCAGCUCGUGUUGUGAGAUGUUGGGUUAAGUCCGGUAACGAGCGCAACCCCUGCUGUAUGUUACAUGUGUCAUACGGGACUGCCGGUAUCAAGCCGGAGGAAGGUGGGGAUGACGUCAAGUCAGCAUGGCCUUUAUAUCCAGGGCUACACACACGCUACAAUGGUCGGUACAACGGGUUGCAAGACCGCAAGGUGGAGCCAAUCCUCAAAAUCGGCCUCAGUUCAGAUUGCAGGCUGCAACUCGCCUGCAUGAAGUCGGAGUUGCUAGUAACCGCGCGUCAGCAUUAGUGCGGUGAAUACGUUCCCGGGCGUUGUACACACCGCCCGUCACGUCAUGGAAGCUGAUAACACCUGAAGUCGGUAUCCUAACCGCAAGGAGGGAGCCGCCCAAGGUGGAAUUGGUAACUGGGACG